CAGUUGAAGGAGGCUGCCGCUUAACUGUGACCCCAGGACAGCCCUCGUCGCUGUGGUCAACACCAAGAAGCGGGUCUAGAUGCUUUCAGCAUUUCAGUUCGUGCUUUCUUGGCACCUUCAGGUGCCUCUCAUGUAGGAGACUUGUUUCGACACUUGACACCAUUGGAAUGCAGUGUUACUCUAUGAAUAAUUCCCAUUCUAGGCCCUGCUCCUCAGUGUUGAGGUAAGGCCACUGCUGAGUCUAUGCAGUUUCUAGUCCAUCCUACUGCACGUGGAUUAACACCUUUGGAUAAGAAGAAAGAUCAAUAAAGACAUAAGAAAACAUCACCUGGCUUUCCAAGGUAGACUUACAGUGACUUAUGAGAUUUGAUUAGCUGCCUGUGCCUGGGAG